rnacentral:lncRNA from 1 species
UGGCGCCUCUAUCGGCUCCGAAUUUGAUUCACCAAUCAAAUUCAAUUCUGUGUAUGUCGGUCCUUCCACCUCAUAAACUUCAUUAAGUUCAAUUUUACAGACAUUAUCUCAUUCACCAAGAAACUCUUUUUUCGAAAAGACUGUCCGAUUGCUGACAAACACCUUUUGUUCUGCAGUGAGGUAGAAGUAGUAUCCUUUAGUUUUCUUUGAAUACCCUAGAAC